rnacentral:rRNA from 1 species
GUUGCAUAAUUCCAAAUAGCGGAGGAAAAGAAACCAACCGGGAUUGCCUUAGUAACGGCGAGUGAAGCGGCAAAAGCUCAAAUUUGAAAUCUGGUACCUUCGGUGCCCGAGUUGUAAUUUGGAGAGGGCAACUUUGGGGCCGUUCCUUGUCUAUGUUCCUUGGAACAGGACGUCAUAGAGGGUGAGAAUCCCGUGUGGCGAGGAGUGCGGUUCUUUGUAAAGUGCCUUCGAAGAGUCGAGUUGUUUGGGAAUGCAGCUCUAAGUGGGUGGUAAAUUCCAUCUAAAGCUAAAUAUUGGCGAGAGACCGAUAGCGAACAAGUACAGUGAUGGAAAGAUGAAAAGAACUUUGAAAAGAGAGUGAAAAAGUACGUGAAAUUGUUGAAAGGGAAGGGCAUUUGAUCAGACAUGGUGUUUUGUGCCCUCUGCUCCUUGUGGGUAGGGGAAUCUCGCAUUUCACUGGGCCAGCAUCAGUUUUGGUGGCAGGAUAAAUCCAUAGGAAUGUAGCUUGCCUCGGUAAGUAUUAUAGCCUGUGGGAAUACUGCCAGCUGGGACUGAGGACUGCGACGUAAGUCAAGGAUGCUGCAUAAGCCAGGCGU